rnacentral:rRNA from 1 species
GACGAACGCUGGCGGCGUGCCUAACACAUGCAAGUGGAGCGACGAACCGGGCUUCGGCCCGGGGCCAAGCCGCGAACGGGUGAGUAACACGUGGGUAACCUGCCCUGAUGAUUGGGACAACCCGAGGAAACUCGGGCUAAUACCGAAUGUGCCCUCCGACCAUAAGGUCUGCGGGGAAAGGAAGCUUCGGCCUCCGCAUCGGGAUGGGCCCGCGGCGCAUUAGCUUGUUGGUGAGGUAACGGCUCACCAAGGCGACGAUGCGUAGCUGGUCUGAGAGGACGAUCAGCCACACUGGGACUGAGACACGGCCCAGACUCCUACGGGAGGGCAGCAGUGGGGAAUCUUGCGCAAUGCGCGAAAGACGUGACGCAGC